rnacentral:lncRNA from 1 species
CUUAUCUCAUUUUAAAACACAUACUGAUCAGCCUUUUUUAAAAUCUGGUAGCCCCAUCUCCAAACCAGAUAUCAACUUGGGUUAUCCUUAAACAAUAUGCAGUUACUAUAGUACAUUGAGUAGGUUUUUUUGGCAAAAUAAGAAGGAAGGGCAAGACUCUAUUAACCAAGACAACAUAGAAGGUUCAUUUCUUUCCCAAACCCACCUCAACUCACCGUUCCAUUUUUUCCAUUCCUUGUUUAAACUUAUUGUCAUAUAUAUACAUCUACAUAUUUCAUAUCUUGAUGCACUAACACUGCCAUUUUCACUCUAUAAUUUCAUGAGCAUUAACCUUAUGGCAUAAACCAAAAAAGCAAGCAAAACAAAUGGGGUCUUGAACUUAAUGGAGGGGUACCCUUGCCAGAAAUGCUUCUGGAUGUGGUGGAAAUAUCACCGGAAAUCAUCUGUGUGUGGCGCUCCCAUGCCAGCAUCGUGGCUGGCCUCAGUUUCUGUUUUCCAGUGGCCCACGGGACGUGUUCAAGUCAUUUCAGCCAUCUUCAACCAUCUCGUUUGGUCCUAGAUGAGUGACUCAGACCAUUGGGGCACCGCCGGCGACCCUAGACCGUGAACAGCAGUGGCCAUGGUGGUUCUUCUUCUCUUUUCCUUCUUCUAGUGGCUGAGAUAUAUUUUGGGAAGAUGAUAUCUUCCUCCUUUCCUUUAACCCACCUAGUUUCUAUUCCUUCAUUUACUCUUUACCUUUUUUAUUGUGUUGUUUUUAUCUUAUUUCAUUGCUUUUUUUAUUUGUUUUAUUCAUUUUGUUUACUCUUUGUUGUGUAUAUAUAUGUGUAACCUCCAUUCAUUUAUUCUAUACUUGUAUAUAUUUCAUUUCCAACCUUUAUGCAUUGUUAUUCUCUUUUUGAUU